UGUCUGGGAAACUGCCUGAUGGAGGGGGAUAACUACUGGAAACGGUAGCUAAUACCGCAUAACGUCGCAAGACCAAAAAGGGGGACCUUCGGGCCUCUUGCCAUCGGAUGUGCCCAGAUGGGAUUAGCUAGUAGGUGGGGUAACGGCUCACCUAGGCGACGAUCCCUAGCUGGUCUGAGAGGAUGACCAGCCACACUGGAACUGAGACACGGUCCAGACUCCUACGGGAGGCAGCAGUGGGGAAUAUUGCACAAUGGGCGCAAGCCUGAUGCAGCCAUGCCGCGUGUAUGAAGAAGGCCUUCGGGUUGUAAAGUACUUUCAGCGGGGAGGAAGGGAGUAAAGUUAAUACCUUUGCUCAUUGACGUUACCCGCAGAAGAAGCACCGGCUAACUCCGUC
rnacentral:rRNA from 1 species